rnacentral:rRNA from 1 species
GGAAUCUUGCACAAUGGGGGAAACCCUGAUGCAGCGACGCCGCGUGAACGAUGAAGCCCUUCGGGGUGUAAAGUUCUUUCGACGGGAACGAUUAUGACGGUACCCGGAGAAGAAGCUGCGGCUAACUACGUGCCAGCAGCCGCGGUAAUACGUAGGCAGCAAGCGUUGUUCGGAAUUAUUGGGCGUAAAGAGUGCGUAGGCGGUUUGCCAAGUCUGGUGUGAAAUCUCCCGGCUUAACUGGGAGGGUGCGCUAGAUACUGGCAGGCUUGAGUGUGGAAGAGGAAAGUGGAAUUCCUGGUGUAGCGGUGAAAUGCGUAGAUAUCAGGAGGAACGCCGGUGGUGUAGACGGCUUUCUGGGCCACAACUGACGCUGAGGCACGAAAGCGUGGGUAGCAA